UGCCCCCUGAUUUUUAUAAUUGAAGGGCUGCAGUAUAUUGACUGUACAAAGGUAGCAUAAUCAUUAGUCUCUUAAUUGGUGACUAGUAUGAAAGAUUGGAUGAAAUAUAUACUGUCUCUUUAUUAAUUUAUAAAAUUUAAUUUUUUAUUUAAAAAGUUAAAAUUAUUUAAAAAGACGAGAAGACCCUUUAGAGUUUAAUAGUUAGUAUUAAUGAUAUUUAUUUAUAAAUUUAUUUAUUUCAUUAGUUUUUACUAUUGUGUUGGGGUGAUAAAAAAAUAUAAUUAACUUUUUUUAAAUAAUAUCAUAAAUAAGUGAUUUUUUGAUCCAAUUUUAUUGAUUAUAAGAUUAAAUUACCUAAGGGAUAACAGCGUAAUUUUUUUUUUUAGUUCAAAUAAAAAAAAGAGUUUGCGACCUCGAUGUUGGAUUAAGAUAAAAUUUAAAUGCAAAAGUUUAAAAUUUUUGAUCUGUUCGAUCAUUAAAAUCUUACGUGAUCUGAGUUCA
rnacentral:rRNA from 1 species